UCCGCCCCUAGCCGGGAGGCCGCGAGCGAGCAGGGAGGAGCAGGCCUGAGGUUGUGCCUGUGUCGUCUGGAGCAGAAGUUUGUGCAGAGGCAGGUAAAUGGGAAGGAGACCCACCAACCAGUAGGCUGCAGCCCAGAGGAACGAGGCGCAGAAGCACCGCCUCAGGCUUCAGAAGCUGUGGGAGUCCAGGAAGUAGAAAUGAAGAAGCUGGUGUGCUCUGGAGUCUGAGAUUUCUGCCCUGGGAAUCAGAAUUCGGGGGCACCAGGUAGGGAAUCUCUGUCAACUCUGGAGACAACACCUUUCAGAACAGGGACCC
rnacentral:lncRNA from 1 species